rnacentral:tRNA from 1 species
UUUCUACUAGUAUAAUGAGUACAUUUACCUUCCAAGUAAAAAGUCUAUAACAAUAGAUAGAUCC